ACAAAGAAUUUGCCUGGCGGCUGUAGCGCGGUGGUCCCACCUGACCCCAUGCCGAACUCAGAAGUGAAACGCCGUAGCGCCGAUGGUAGUGUGGGGUCUCCCCAUGCGAGAGUAGGGAACUGCCAGGCAUCAAA
rnacentral:rRNA from 1 species